CGGCACGGGUGAGUAACACGUAUGGAACCUGCCCUAUGCAGGGGGAUAAGCGGAAGAAAUUCCGUCUAAUACCGCAUAACACCAUUUGGAGACAUCUCCAGGUGGUCAAGGGAGGCGACUCCGGCAUAGGAUGGCCAUGCGUCGCAUUAGCUAGUCGGCGGGGUAACGGCCCACCGAGGCGACGAUGCGUAGGGGUUCUGAGAGGAAGGUCCCCCACACUGGUACUGAGACACGGACCAGACUCCUACGGAAGGCAGCAG
rnacentral:rRNA from 1 species